rnacentral:rRNA from 1 species
UUAAAGCAGGCAGAUCCAAUUUUCUGCCACCGAAUACAUUAGCAUGGGAUAAUGGAAUAGGACCCUGUCCUCCUAUUUUCAGUUGGUUUUGGCAGCGCGAGGACUAGGGUAAUGAUUAAUAGGGAUAGUUGGGGGCAUUAAUAUUUAAUUGUCAGAGGUGAAAUUCUUGGAUUUAUGAAAGAUUAACUUCUGCGAAAGCAUCUGCCAAGGAUGUUUUCAUUAAUCAAGAACGAAAGUUAGGGGAUCGAAGACGAUCAGAUACCGUCGUAGUCUUAACCAUAAACGAUGCCGACCAGCGAUUAGGAGACGUUGAAUACAAAACACCACCAUCGGCGCGGUCGUCCUUGGCGUCUGUGCCCCUUUCCAACGGGGGCGUGCGCGCGAGGGCGGUUCAGCCGGG